GGGUCACAUUUUCUCAGGUUAUCUUCCAUGUUUAAUAUUUGCAGAAUUAAAAUUUAAACCGGCAUGGUUCCAGGCAACGUGGAAACCCAUUCUGGCAGAUGGCUGCUCCUUGACACAGGGAGCUCGCUUCCUUACUUCCUCCUCCCACCUCCUGACCUUGCUCUAGUACUCACCAGACCCACCAACAGUCCCAACCACCCUCGCCGUUCUGGCAGGGCACCCAGCCUGCAGGAGAAGGUGGAGGUUCUGCCCAGCCCCUGGCAAAGCCUCUCGCGUGUUACCGAGUCCCUGGCUUUAUCUUCCUGGCAAGAAGCGUCUCGGUUGGCCACGUGAUUCCGUAGAUGCUUAAAGUAGUUUCUUCCGCCAUUUAAAAAUACCCCAGGGAAAAGCAGAUUAACUGUAUGAUACGGGACUCUCCUGUAGUAAGGGUGAAAUCAACAGAAACCCUGAUGGAUCUUUUAUUUCUAACUUUCCUAUAAUCCCCUUAUUUCUGCUUUGUUGACGUAACUUCCAAAGUGUCUUCCAGUGCCUUGAAUGAAAGUUCAUGGUGUUGAGGACGCAGGAAUGAUGAUUAUACUGAACUGUGAGGGUUUGUUUUUUUUUUUUUUAAACAAGAAAUUAGGUAUCGUGUUUGCAAGAGCAGUCAAAACUAAAGCACUCUCUUGGCAGGUUUCACGCUGUUCUGCCUUCUAAUCUUUUACAGUUUUUCUCAAAAUGAGAUAUGUUAUUUCAAGCUUAGUUAGGAGGUAAAAAAAACCAUAAGAUUAUAGGAUCACACACUGUUAGAGCUGUUAAAAAGAGCGGGGCUGUAAAAGAAUUCAGACUCCCCCCACCUCCUGCAAUUGAUACAAAGAACUGUCAGGUUUCUGGCAGAUUUAUUAUUUUUGUAUUAGCAUAUAUCUGGAAGUUGGAAAGAACUUGAAACAUCGCUAUGCAAGGAUGUAAGGUAAGAAGAGGUCCAUUUCCCUACUUGUUUUAGUUUUUACUUUCUCUCCAUAAAGUCUACCAGAUACAUCUGUGCUAACAGGUUUUUAUUUUCUCUCUAAUGUGUAAGGUUAGCAACAACCAGUAAAUCUCCACUUGUUCCUGGCUCCUCCAGCAGAUUGCUGCGUUUGAGAAACCUCCUCUUGCUUCAUCAGCUUGAGCAGAUCAGGCAGGAGAAGCAAUGAUGUCGGGACAGUAACAACAAGCUAUUAUUUCAACAGAGGUUAAAACAAGCAGUAAUUAUCAGUGAAAGAAAAGCAUAACAAGGGCAAAUAAAAGUGUGUAUCUUACUGAAACAUAAUGUAUCUGACCUUCAAAGGGAACAGCAAAGACCUCUGAAGGACAGCAGUAGAAGAGGAAGGUGAUUACAUCACUGUUUGUGGUAUUUUGCACAAGUUCCACUUCAAUCUCAUGGUUUUUACAGGUGCAAUAUUAGGAUAAUCUAGGCAGAAAUCUUUUAAAUGGAUGCAUAUUCUUAUUUUACAUGUGGGGAGCCAUAGAGUAGUGGCUACCAAAAUUACUUAGGAUGGCUUUGAUGGGGAGCUGGAAAGAGAAUGAAUUUUAAGAUUGUCAACUCCUGUAUCUUGGUCAAAUUUAUCCACUCUUGAUAACCUCUCCAGAUAGGUUUGUCAACCAGGUGGAAUUUCACAUUAAAAAAAAAAAAAAAAUUCUUACAAAAUGCUCUUCUUUUCCACACUGAAAAUAUGCUUGGAUAUCUGCGUCAGUCAAAUGGGUUUCCUGGGCAGCAUUUACUGGAAUUCUUUUAGAGCAGUAAGUCUAAGAAAUGCUUCUGUUUUAAGAAAAGAGCACGUUUGGUUUGGUUGCUUGAAACAAAUCUGACAGAUGAGCUGGAAGACAGAUUUAUAAGCUGAAACAAAAGAUGAAUGUGUUAACAAAAGUAUGUUGAACUGUUUAUUUCACCAUGCCCUUACGUUUUGCUGAUACUGUGCAGUAAAAUGUUGGUUAUUUUUUACUUCUCUGUACUUGGUAUUUUAUUAUUUGCUACAAUGUGCAGGAGAAAGAUUACCUCUGGAGAUGUAAGGGACAUAAUAAAGCAGUGGAACCAAUGGGGAUGUUGCCAGAGACUGACUCGCUAUAAUUCCAGGGCUUAGGAAAAAGACAUUUUAUAAUUAGCUCACACUAUUUAUCAAGCUAUUGCCCUAAAAUUUUGAGAAAACCUGUCACUCUACCAUAUUAUCUUCAACCAAAUAGGAUGAUUUUUUUAAAAGGUCUUUGGGAGAGUUUAAAAUUACUCACCAUUAUUAGUUACUGCUAAGUAGCUGGUAUUUAUUCAGCUUUGUUUGUUUUGGAAAUCAGCAAGUUCCCCAAAUUCCACAAGCAUUUAUUAGUCUCAUCCAUCGCUUUGGAGGAAUAUAUACAUUCAAUUUUUCAUGUCACAGUGUUGCUGAAUAUGUGCUUGUUUUAAUGCAGUUGAGUGGUGGCUUUUGUGAUUGGUCACAGCCCAAUGACAAAUACUGCAUUAGCAUUUAAAGAAAACUGCAAAGAUAAGGCAAUCUUAAUUGUGCAAGCAGACAGCUUCUCACCCUUCUUAAGAAUAGGACUUUCCAGGCUUCCUCUUUGUUUUGAUUUAUCUCAGCACUAUUUAUGUUGCUAUUCCUGCUCCUUCCCGUUUUCAGAGCAAUCCUACUCUGUGUUUCAGAGCAGGGCUGUGCAGCUGGUUGGUUCUGCUUUAGGUCUGCAAUUACCUGCUAUUUAUAUUAGUUAGUGCCCUUAUGCUGUUGUUUAUCCUAUACCAAUAGUUUUCAAUGGUGAAAAAAUGUCUCUGUUUGUUUUAUGACUUGGCUUUAAUUCACCCGUCCAGCUCACUCAUUAUGAAAAAAACACAGGAACUUUGGGAAGAUUACUUUCUCCAGGUUUCAUUGCGUGCCAAAAAAGAAAAUGGGUACUAGAGCUCCAUUAGAGCUGUGAAAGUCUGCAGGUUGUUUACCAGCAGUGUGUUCGCUUAAGUCUCCCUCCCAGCCUUGCUGGUGAGGGACACGGUUCUGUGUUACUGGCGAUGUCUCUCUCUUUCCCUGCUCUUUAGAGUAACCCAACAUUUCCAUUCCAGCCCUGUCAGUGUCUUCAGCUAUUUCUAAACUACUCCUCCUCUAAUCCCUCAUCUGGGCAUGCUUUGACCUAAUUUGCCGUGAUCCUGCCAGCUAUGCCAGUUACGUAAAGAGGGGUUAUGGCCCCGUCACGGCGGUAGCUCCAGUUCUGCAUCUUUCUCCUGCCGAGCCCCCCGCUCCCUCCCGCCAUAGCCGCGCCCUGAUCUCCGCCUGCCCCCGGCCGCACCACUGCCCUUCCCUCAGACCCAUCCUGACACCCUGAAGGCAAUAAAAACCUCCAAACAACCCGGGCUUUUUUUUUUUUUCUUUCUUUCUUUUUUUUCCCACCCCCCCCCAUCCUCCACGCACGCUGGCUGCAGGACCCUCCCUCCCCCGGCCCGGCACUGGGCGCCCACCGCGGGUCCCCCACGCGUGAAGGGGCGCGUUACCGGGGGGGCUCCCCGCCGCCCUCCCGGCCCCAGCCCGUCCCUCACGGCGAGGCGGGAGCUCGGCGGCUGAGGGGGCGGCGGCGGGCGGGAGAGCCCUCAGCCCCGGCCGCCAUGGCGCUGCGGCCUGCAGGCGGGCUCCCCCCGCCGCCGAGGGGCAUUCCGCGGGGCGGGAUCCCCGCGUGGGGCUGGGGGGAGCCGGUGGGAUCGACUUCCCACAGCUCUUCUCCUCCGCCGUCCCCGGGGGAUCCGCGUCCUCCCAGAGGUCGAAGCAGCCCCUACAGCAGUAGGUGACUAUGGGAUGGAGCUCCCUGUAACGCAGAGAAGUGGAUUUAACAGCCAGCGCUUUGGAGGCCUAUGCUUCUAUGACUCACUACAGUGCAGGGAACGUGGGCAGGUAAACAAGUACUUCAGUAGGA